CACAACCGAGCACACCAUCACCACCUUAAACAUCCUCAUCUUCUUCAUUACAUUGUCCAUUCAAAGCCUAGAAAUCAUCCAUGGAAGGUGCAACUUGAAGGGAUUUCAAGGGAGCAUUGUUCUUGCUUGGUUCUACAUCUUUUUCUCGUCAUUUUUACACAAGAUUCUUCCCUAGCUAGAGGCUAGUAGUAAGUUUCUUCAUACUUGAUCUCAUCUUGUUCGAAAUAUUGACAUAUCGCAUGAAGUAUUAUCAUGAGCGGACGCGGAGGACGUAUCAACCUUACUCAAGCCCAGUUGACGGCUCUGAUCAACGAACGAGUUGCUGAGGCACUCGCAGCUGUUCCUGCAGGAGGUAUAACCUGCUACUUCGACCUAUCUUAGGAUGUUUAGAUUUUACCUUCGCAAACCUACCCUCGUGCUUAACCUUGUCAUUUAUUCUCGCACCACAGGUCAACAUGCUCAGCC
rnacentral:lncRNA from 1 species